rnacentral:pre_miRNA from 1 species
AGAGGGAUAGCUGGGUCAAAUGGGGGUUCCAUUCCCAGAUUUCCAAGGAAUCUCCAUACUGCUUUCCAUAUUGGCUGCACCAAUUUGCAGUCCCACCAGCAAU